GGGCGCAGCUGGCUCCCAGAGACCCUGCCAGUGAGCAGAGCCAGGGAGGGAACGCGGGAGGGGAGAGGCAGUGGCCAGAGGUCAGGCAUUCAGGAGAUCUGGCAAGCCAGGCAGAGGAGGGGGCGAGCAAGACGGGAGGAAAUGUGGAAAAGACAGGAGACAGAGAAUGGGAGGGAGCUCCGAGGCCGGAAUGUGAGCAGGACUGGAUUCCCCAUCUGGCCCCCGGUCUCGGCAGAAGUGACUGGAAUUUGCCAUCUGCCUCGCACGGUUGCCAGAGGAGCACCCUCACUCCUCACCAACUCUCCCUGAUGCCUGGAAGGCUCCGCUCAGAAGACAGGCAGGGAGAAGGAAAGGACCCAGGAUUUCACAGCCAUGGAGUGGAGCACACAGAGGCCCUGGUCUGCUCCAGUCCGAGGAGGGUGGAUGCCAUCAGUCCAAGCCAGCUGGAGCGAGUGCUAACUGUUCGGCUGACAGCAGACCCCGCUUCCACAAUCACAGUGACCAAUGAUAAUACCAAGAAACAACACAAAAGAUGCAGAAGCAGUGGUGAUUUGUGAGGGCUUGGCCUUGGCCAGGCCCUGUACUGAGGUUUUGCAGAACCAACACUUCAGUGGCUGUUACCUCUGCCUGGAAUGUUCUUCCCACCAGCAUCUGCAGAGUUUGUUUCCUCCCAUCAUUCAAGUAUCUGAUCAAAGGGAGGCCUUCCUGAGCUCUAAAACAGAGACCCCCUCCACCUCCAUGUGAUUUCCCAUCAUAGCACCUUCCCCUGACGUUAUAUUACAUUUGUAUUUGUUUACUGUUUAACUCCUGCACUGGAACGUCAGCUCCAGGAGGGCAGGGAUUUUUGCCUGUCUUGCUCACUGCUGACACCCAGUGCCCAGAAACAUCUCUGGGACAAAGCAGGGGCUCAAUAAAUGCCUGCUGAAUUAAUGAACGCUUGAAUUAUUUCUGUUGAUCCUCUCAGAAG